UACGUAGGGUGCGAGCGUUAAUCGGAAUUACUGGGCGUAAAGCGUGCGCAGGCGGUUCGUUGUGUCGGUGGUGAAAGCCCCGGGCUCAACCUGGGAAUGGCCAUGGAAACUGGCGAACUGGAGUGUGGCAGAGGGGGGUGGAAUUCCGCGUGUAGCAGUGAAAUGCGUAGAGAUGCGGAGGAACACCGAUGGCGAAGGCAGCCCCCCUGGGCUAGCACUGACGCUCAGGCACGAAAGCGUGGGGAGCAAACAGG
rnacentral:rRNA from 1 species